rnacentral:rRNA from 1 species
CACGCCGUAAACGAUGAGUGCUAAGUGUCGGGGGUGACCAACCCUCGGUGCUGUCGUUAACACAAUAAGCACUCCGCCUGGGGAGNACGCGAAGAACCUUACCAAGGCUUGACAUCCCUCUGACCGGUCUAGAGAUAGACCUUUCCCUUCGGGGACAGAGGUGACAGGUGG